CAGCUCAAAUUUGAAAUCUGGCUCCUCUGGGGCCCGAGUUGUAAUUUGCAGAGGGCGCUUUGGCGUUGGCAGCGGUCUAAGUUCCUUGGAACAGGACGUCACAGAGGGUGAGAAUCCCGUACGUGGUCGCUAGCGUUCGCCGUGUAAAGCCCCUUCGACGAGUCGAGUUGUUUGGGAAUGCAGCUCUAAAUGGGAGGUAAAUUUCUUCUAAAGCUAAAUACUGGCCAGAGACCGAUAGCGCACAAGUAGAGUGAUCGAAAGAUGAAAAGCACUUUGGAAAGAGAGUCAAACAGCACGUGAAAUUGUUGAAAGGGAAGCGCUUGCAGCCAGACUUGCCUGUAGUUGCUCAUCCAGGCUUUUGCCCGGUGCACUCUUCUGCAGGCAGGCCAGCAUCAGUUUGGGCGGUUGGAUAAAGGCCUCUGUCACGUACCUCCCUUCGGAGAGGCCUUAUAGGGGAGGCGGCAUGCAACCAGCCUGGACUGAGGUCUGCGCAUCUGCUAGGAUGCUGGCGUAAUGGC
rnacentral:rRNA from 1 species